rnacentral:rRNA from 1 species
AUUGAACGCUGGCGGCAUGCUUUACACAUGCAAGUCGAACGGUAACAGGGAGCUUGCUCCGCUGACGAGUGGCGAACGGGUGAGUAAUAUAUCGGAACGCACCCAAGAGUGGGGGAUAACGUAGCGAAAGUUACGCUAAUACCGCAUACGAUCUAAGGACGAAAGCAGGGGACCUUCGGGACUUGUGCUCCUGGAGCGGCCGAUAACUGAUUAGCUAGUUGGUGAGGUAAAGGCUCACCAAGGCGACGAUCAGUAGCUGGUCUGAGAGGACGACCAGCCACACUGGAACUGAGACACGGUCCAGACUCCUACGGGAGGCAGCAGUGGGGAAUUUUGGACAAUGGGCGCAAGCCUGAUCCAGCGAUGCCGCGUGAGUGAAGAAGGCCUUCGGGUUGUAAAGCUCUUUUGUCAGGGAAGAAACGGGAGUGGCUAAUAUCCAAUCCUAAUGACGGUACCUGAAGAAUAAGCACCGGCUAACUACGUGCCAGCCGCCGCAGUAACAC